AAUUGCAUUUUAUUUAUGCAAUCCUUUAUGUCCUCUCCAGCACCCAGGGCCUUGCCUGGCAAUUAGCUGAAACUCAGAUGGCAGUGCCCAGCGACCCUCAGCUCUGACAAUGGCCCUGCCCAGAUGGGCUCCCUGUCCAAACACCACAUUUGGUAUAAAGGCUAUCACAAUUGCAGAGUAUUGAGUACAGAAACCUGUAAUCUAGGGAAGAAUUCAGCCAGAGCAGUUCCUCCUACACCGGGAACAGAGCCUACAGCAAGCAGUGUGGAGACCUUGGUGCUCCAAGAAGGCCUGGCCUCUGGGGCUGCUGCUGAGAAGGUAUCUGUGGGCCUUGGGGCGGACUUGGGGCAGGUGAAGCCUACACAAGAGGAAGGACCACCCCAACUUGUUAGUGAACAGAGGGGAGAACUGAAGACAAACCUCCCUGCCUUUGCUUAGGCCCAGGACUGAAGAAAAUUAAUCGAUGUGUAGUUGAAUGCCACCACUUUACAAGAUAUGGGAGGAGAAGGCCAUGUGACUUGAUAGGAAAAUCGACUUCGUAGAGCCACACAAAUUAACCAAAGACUUUCUCCAGGGAAAGAUCUUUGGGCUGCCGUAAUGAAUCACGUUCGACUCUAAAUUGCAGAGGAGUGGUCUUUGGGAUGCAUAUAGGAAAUUAUUUUGUAAAGAGACAGAAUCCAGGGUUAGAAUCUGAGAGGUGCAGCAGGAGUCAGAGUGGAGACUUGGUGGCUCUAAGGUAGCACAGAAGGAGUCAUUAUGUGAUGGAAGGGCAGUGCCCACUCUCAUAAACCUGGGCUGGAAGUGUGGGUCUCUGUUGAGCAGGUGUACUGCUCACAAAGCCCCCCAGGGGCGUGUGGCCUUGUGCCACUCUCCUUUGUGUAGCUCUUUAAGGAAUUCCAGUGGCUAGGAUAUUUUUUUUUUAACUUUGGUUUUUUGGAAGUAUUUGUGGGUUUCCGGAGAGGAUGCCUGUCCUUCCAUGUUGGUGCAAUAGAGAGGCAUGAGUGUGACUCCCAAAGCAGCUGGAUGGAGCCGUGGUAGAGGCUCCCCAGCUCCGGAUUUGAGAAGACCCAGCAGGGCUGGGAGAAGUGCUGCACAGGAGGCUGAGGGUUUCAUUAGUAUUUACCUAAUGUCAUCUUCCUGUUUGAGGACCCCAUCUGGGAUACCACAGCACAUUUGGUCAUGUCUCCUGAGGCUCCUCUUGGCUGAAUUCAGGAAAGAACUUGAGUUCUACUUUUGCAGUGAAGAACAGAGAACACCUGCAGAAGCUGAGAAUGAAAUGAGCCCACCAGGACUUAGCAACCGUCUUGCUGAGGAAACGUUUGAAUGGGAAUGGGAGAGGAGAGCAGAAAUGGGAAGGAAAAAGAAGAUUCCAGAGCAGUAACGUAAUUAAACAUUCUCAAUCCACAAAAUGACUGCAAAGCAGAUAACCAGAGUCCUGAUGAUUAACUGCCGUCAGUGGAACUGCCUGUUUUUCCUCAAGUGGAUCUUUCCUUCUAUGCAAAAGCAGUUGAAGUGGGUGUCUGUACGCUGCGUCCUAGCCCUGUGCCGAUUUCCUAUUGAGGUCAGUGGGCCUUUGUCGCGGAGUGGAGAUCUUGGGGUGUCUCAUGGACUUUGAGCUCCAAGGCCUGGAGGGGCUUCUUGGGCAGUUAUCACAUGUGCUGUCCUGUCAUCUGAUGUUUCCUGGGGUCAUGGUUGCAUGGAGACCUGGGAAAAGAGACCGUUGACCACAAGAGGCCCGAGGCCUCUGACCACUGACCAGGAGCUUGAAUUUCUCCCAGGCAGACGGCCCCUGGUAACCUGAACAAUCUGGGAGAUGAGUUGGAUAUUAGAGGGGCCUCCCACGCAGGUUGAGUCACGGAGCAGCCAGAAUGUCCUCCUGUGCGAGGGCUAUUUGUGACCUGGGGUCAAGAUUGUUCUGACUUCAGUUUCCUUUACUUUCAUAAUCAUUUCCUGGCAGUCCUCUCCCUGAAAUAAGAAAUACCGGCUUCUGUUUAUGGAACUUGUGGGCCAACUUAGAUAUAUUGGGGUCCUGAUGCUCUCAGCAGGGGAACAUCAUGUUGGUAACACUCAACCAAGAACCCGUGUGAAUGUCAGGCAAAUGGUAGAGGAGCUUGGAUAUGGAACUAGAACAUCCAAGUCCAAGUUCUAGCUGUGACACUCACUCUGUACCUGUGAAUGCCGGGGAAGCCCGGCAAGCCACUCAAAGCCUUACGAGCUGCACUUUCCUUAUCUUACAGUGGAAAUGAGAAUCUUUGUUCCCUGAAGUUUGUCAUAAACAUCAAACUGGAUGUUUGAGGAAGUAUUUUCAAAUCAAGUCACCACCAGUGGUGUAGGGUAAGGGUUUUUUUCCUUAUGGCAAUAUGAGGGGUGCAUUGGGGAAAAGGGGAGCAUUAGCUCCUCAGAUAUCAUGAAACUUUUGGGAUAUUGUCAGAGCCCCAAGGAUAUCACAGGGUCAGCUUGGCUAGUCCCGCAAACCUCUGAGAAGUAUGUUCUGCUGGAUGGGCAAGCAGGUCCUCAGGGUAAAAGAGGAGGAAGUGGAUUAAGCAGCGUGGUCUUUAGACACACCUGGGAAUUAUUCGUGUUGCCAGGGAAGGGGUUGGCACUGCUGCUAUUUCUCUUUUCCCUUUGCAGGCUGGCCUCAUGGGUGUGCAGAUGUUUUUUUCAGGGCUAGUGUGAUGGAAUGGUGGUGGAACUUAGUGUGAACACGCCGUGGUGUGUGAGCUUUUCACGUUCUAGUCUAGAGACAGCCGAGGCUGUUUUUGAAGAAGGGAAAGCUGGCUCAUGUGUGACUGUUCACUUACCUGCCCUUAAUCUCACUUCCAGAAAAGGUAAAAUUGCUCCGCUCCCAGAAGGUGCCAGCAAGGAGCUCGCUCCUGGGUUGGUUCAGGGUUGUGUCUCAAUGGGCAUCUUUUCAGAGCUAGGUUGGAGCCAAAAUCUACUUUGCUGAGUCCUCUUUUCUAGGUGUGUUCAAAGGGAUAUAAAAUCCAUGUUUGGGACCCGUUACACUUGUUCACCACGGACCAUUUGGCAAUCAUUUUUAUCCCAGAAUGAUUUCCUGCCUUAGAGUGAGGCCCAUCCAGGGCAGUGGGAUUUCCUCUUUGCUCUGCUCUUGUCUUGCAGAGUGACCUGGGUUGACCUAUCUGUCCUUUCUGUUACUCAUAUCUUUAGCCUUAAAAGAUCAUGUCCUUUUAAUUUAAAAAACAAAGCCAAACAACCCUCCCACUACAAACCACUAAUCUUUCAAAACAGAAAAAAAAUGUGUCUUUUGAAAAGAGGAAAUUGCUUUUUAUUAGGUGUAAAAACCAACAAAAAAAGCUCCCAACAUCUCCAGAGGCCUGGGAGUUGCCAUGAACCGCUGACCCCAUUCUGUUAGGUUGGCAAACAGCCUCCCCAAGCCCGCCAUCCAAGCAAAACGGUGAGCUUGACUUGUGCCACAGAACAGCCUUGCCUCACAUCAAGACAUGUUUCCACAUCCUCUGGAGGGUGCCAGCGUAGCCUUGGCACAUGUCUUUUGUAAGGGACAUUCAUUUGUAAAUUCAAAAAUAUGCUGGAGUGACCUUGAAGGACAGUAGUGUAAUCACAUCAUUUAAGAGAUGAAGAAACUGCAGCUCAGAAAAGGAGUCAUUUGCUCAAGCCACAUGUGGGUCUGUGGAAGACCUGGGACUGGAACCUCAUCCUUCAGAGCAAUGCUGUUGCCACUAAGUCCUUGGAGACUUGAGAAGAACUUUCCAGGUGGUGGCGCAUAGUCACUGCUCACCAAACCUUCCGGGUGUCCCCCAGUAUUCCUUAGUAGUCAGGUUGGGGCUGCGUGACUAGACCUGGAUAAUGACGUCCCAGCGGAAGUGAAUAAGAAGUUAACCUGUGUUGUGUUGGGCCAUUGAGAUUUUGAGGUAUUUUUAUUACUGUAGCAUAACCUAACUUUAUGCAGAUCUAUACAAAAACUAACUUUGCAAAACCAUCUCAGAAGAGCUGACUCUGAAGGUAGAACAAUGUCUCACUCAAGGAUUGAUAUCUUUUAUUGAAUGGGGGGCAGGAUAGCGUUAUAGUUUUGAGACUUUGCUUUCUAAAGCUUGGGCGUCUGGAUACUAAGAUGUGUAUCUCACAUCCACCACUUAUUAGCUGUAUGAUUUUGAGCGAUUGACUUUACUUAUUGUGCCUCAGUUCCUCAU
rnacentral:lncRNA from 1 species